ACCGGCAAACGGGUGCGGAACACGUACGCAACCUUCCUUUAAGUGGGGAAUAGCCCGGGGAAACCCGGAUUAAUACCCCGUAAUAUUAUGGCAUCUAUAGCUCCGCUUAGAGAUGGGCGUGCGUCUGAUUAGGUAGUUGGCGGGGUAACGGCCCACCAAGCCUGCGAUCAGUAACUGGUGUGAGAGCACGACCAGUCACACGGGCACUGAGACACGGGCCCGACUCCUACGGGAGGCAGCAGUAAGGAAUAUUGGUCAAUGGACGCAAGUCUGAACCAGCCAUGCCGCGUGGAGGAUGAAGGUCCUCGGAUUGUAAACUUCUUUUAUCUGGGAAGAAUGACGGUACCAGAUGAAUAAGCACCGGCUAACUCCGUGC
rnacentral:rRNA from 1 species